GGGUCUCUAGCUCAGUGGAUACAGGGAGAGCUGCUGACUGCAGAUCAGCAGGUCUCCGGUUCAAACCCGGAGGGGCCCU
rnacentral:tRNA from 1 species